GGCAAACGGGUGAGUAAUACAUGGGUAAUUUGCCUUUAGGUCUGGAAUAACCGUGAGAAAUCGCGGCUAAUACCGGAUAAUAAUCUUGAAACAUAAGUUUCUUGAUUUAAAAGUGACUUCGUAUAGGAGUUACUGCCAAAAGAUGAGCCUAUGCUCUAUUAGCCAGUUGGUGGGGUAAUGGCCUACCAAAGCUAAGAUGGAUAGCCGACCUGAGAGGGUAUACGGCCACAUUGGGACUGACGCACGGCCCAAACUCCUACGGGAGGCAGCAGCUAAGAAUUUUCCGCAAUGGGCGCAAGCCUGAC
rnacentral:rRNA from 1 species